AUACAUGGUGUGGGGGCUCCUCCAGAGGCUGUUGGGAUCCUCCUGGAUGUGGUGUGGGCAUGGAAGGAAGGCCAGUGGAGACAAUGGAUGAUCUUGUUCUUAGCAGAUCACUGGAUGUGGCAGGGAGUCCUAGGACAUGUGUGGUGUGGGCUUCUUCAGGUGCUGGUGGUGUUGGCAUGAGGAAAGGAGGUAUCUUCGAGGGACAAUCUUCUUCUUGUGCGAUCCUUGGAGAUGCCAUGAGGCCCCUGGACACAUGUGGUGUGGGCUCCUUUGGAGGCUGUUGUAUCCCUUCUGAAUGUGUUGUGGCCAUGGAAGUAAGGCCAGUGGCUACGAGGGACAGUCUUCAUCUUGGGAGAUCCCUAGAGAGGGCAGGGAGCCCCUUGACAUGUGGAAUGUGAUCUCUGUUGGGUGCUGGUGGAUCCCACAGGUGGUCUGGCAUGGAAGAAGGCCAGAGGCUGCGAUGGAUCAUCUUUGUCUUGGGAGAUUCCUGGAGAUGGUGGGGAGCCCCUGGGCACGUGCAGCAUAUGUGGCGUGGGCUUCUUCAGGUGCUGGUGGAUCCCUCAGGAUGCUUUUCAAGGUUUUUCUAUGAGUUCUGUUAAAGAGUCUGAAAAUGGAGCGUAGAAGACAUGCUUCGAUUUCCAGGAUGGUUGUGUUUUCCAGAGAGGCGGAGGUAAACCACUGGCGCAGCCCUGCCUCCCACAGAUAAUUCCGGGUGCAGUGUUUCAUAUCUAGACUUGGACUUCUAUCCUACCAUACUUCUUUGUGUGCAGUUCAUUGUGGAACCAGCACAGAUUUUCAUACGAAAGUUAUUUCUUUUUAACCUCAAAAAGUGACAGAAUGGAGUGUAUCAUGAAAAAGUCUGACAUCAAAACCUCAAAAUGUGAUAUUGAUUGGGUGAGAUAGAAUUCCAUGGAAUUUCAUUGCCAAACCAGUGAAGUGCUAAUUUUGACAUUUGUACCAGCUAACGUAGCUGUGAAGAAACACACCAAUACACUUCUAAGGACAGCAUAGACCAAGAUCUAGGUUUCAUAUGGAUGAAUUUAUUCUUCCCUUUGAGGCAAGACAAGAAGGAAAGAAAGUAUUGGGAAUAAUGCUGCCCUCCCAUCCUCAAGGGCCAGUGGGAACUCUAAUAUUGAUUGGGUGAGAUACAAUUCCAUGGAAUUUUACCACUGAACCAGUGGAGGGCUAAUUUUGUCAUUUGUACCAGUUAACUAACUUGGGAGGAAACAGAACAACACACUCCUGAGAUUGGUUUUCACAGAAUUCCAUGGACUUUAACUGCUGAACCAAUGAUGCACUGAUUUUGUCACUUGUACCAGCUAACGCAUCUGGGAGGCAACAAAACAAUACUCUCCUGAGGUUAAUGUGGACCAAAAACUAGAUUUCAUAUAAAAGAGUUUAUUCCUUCUACUUGAGGUGUGACAUGAAGGAAAGUAAUGGAAAUAAUUCUGCCCUCCCAUUCUCAAGGGCCAGGGGGAAUUCAAAUAUUGAACGGAAGUGAUUUUGGAAUUGCAUGGAAUUCUCACUGCCAUCCCAAAGAAAUGCUGAUCUUGUCACUCUUACCUGUUUCAUUCCCUGGGGGCAGAACAAAAGGACGCACUCCAAAGAUCGGCAUGAACCAAGAACUGGGUUUCAUAUAAAAUAUUUUAUUCUGUCCUCUUGAGAUGUGACAUGAGAAAAGUAUUGAGAAUACUUCUAUCACCUCAUCUUCAAGAAUCCGUAGGAAUUCUCCCAUGGUGGACUUUACGGUUAACCUGAACAGGUCUUGGAAAAAGGACUUUAAACAUUCUCCUGUUCUGUGGAAUAAGUAUACUUUUUUCUGGACAUACACCUUGUCAGUGAGUUCCAUGUGAUACUAGAGUUGCAUAGAUUUUUAACCUUUACGCCAAUGAAGAUCUGAGGCAAACAUUGCCCCUUUUUUAGAAGUUUGCAUUUGUCACUGAUAACUGUAAUAAUUGAUCUUGUUGAAAAGCCUGGGAAAUGAAGAUCUGAUAUGUCACUUUUACCGGCUUCCUCAACUGAAAAAGAAUACAAUGAAACACGCUGAGAAUUUUUGUGCUUUCUCAGUCUUGCUGAUGAUCUUUCUAUGGGCCUGAAGCGUGGAGAGUGCCAGAGAGGCUGAUCCUCAGCAGUGUGGCAGAGGAAAGUUGGGUGCGACUAAGGGGUAUGCGGUGCCCACAUGCCACUGGGUCCUCAGCAGUACCACCUGAUUGGAAGUGAUAUUGGUGGAAGACAACAUUUUGCCGCUUGGAAUUCUCACCUCCACACCAAAGAAGUACUGUUUUUGUCAUUUGCACCAGCUUCUUUCUCCAGGAAAGAUCAAAACGAUGCACUGCAAGUGUGAUUGGUCCAGAUAGCUGCCUUAUCCAACUGCCUCCUUUGGACCACUUCAUCAUGGGACAGCUUGAUGCAAUCUACUUGACAAGACCCUGGAACCCCACACCCCUCAUGGAACCAGUGUCCACCUCCCAGUCACAGUGUGACCCCAGGGAACUCUUGCCUGCUUGCUUUAAACCCACCACUUAAAAGUCUCCACAGAAAACCUGUUUGAAUAGUACCCUUGACCCAAUAAGGGCAUUGGCCCCUGGGUGUCUCUCUCUCUCUCUCUCUCUCUCUCUCCCUCUCUCUCCCUCUCUCUCUCUCGCUCCCUGACCUCUGCGUGUGGACUCCAGGCAUGCCAUAUACCCCUCAGGACCUGAAGCAAAAGAAUGAAUUAAAGAAAACUCCAGAGAAUGAGCUGACAACCUACUCCCUGGUCAGUGGCUCUCCAUGCCUACCUGUGGUCUCUUGGACACCCUUGCAGAUGACUUCCUGGGAACUCUUCUGGGAGUGAAUGUUAUCAGCAAAUUCCCAAAACAACACCCCUUAGACAAAAAGCCUCCUCACCUAUGCAUUGCCUAGACCACCCACUAAAGGUGAUGGCCACAAAGAGGUGGAUUUGUUGAGUUGGUGCCAUUCCUUCUACUGCCAGCUUCACCAAAACAAUGACACAGUCUUCCUUCCGCAUGGAGACUCUUCUCUUUCCUGUGUUGCAGUGGAUGCCUCCUGCAGAUAAGAAAUGCUUAACUGAGAAAUGCUCAUGUUGGGAUAUCAUCGAUGAGACUUUAAUUUGGGCAUGGUGACUGUUUCCCUUGCUGCCACUUGACUCAAUCCCAGGAGCCUCAGUAGAGGAUAUAAUAUUACACAAGAUGCUCAAAAUGGUGGAAUUGCUCAGUGCUCCCAUAAAUAUACAUUUAUAAUUUUCAUUUGCCACAUGGUAAACUGAAAAAUACAGACUAUAUUAAAAAGAAACUGCAUGAUUUUUUUUCAAAAAUUCAAAGCAUAUUUAAAUAAUAUAUAAAUUAAAUGCCCUCCUCUCUUCCAAUUCUGUCCCUAUAGUUUUCCUCUAUUAAGUGAACUACAUGCAUUCUUUUAGUGGAUAGAUGCACACAAACACACAAGCCAUUAUGGGGAAGGAUCCACGUGUGUGGCCAUAUUGUAACACAUUUUUCUGCAAAUCACCUCUUUCAUUUAACAGCCCUUAUUCAAUGGCCUUUUUCUUUUUCAGUAGUACAUACACAUCUGUGUCAUUUGUUGAAUGACGACAUGAAUGUUUUGUAGAUAAAAUAUAAUUAAAUGUUUUAAGCAUUUCUCACUCAUAGAUAUUUAUGUUAGCACCAAAUUUCUGUGCAAUGAACCUCCCUAUAUAUCAGUAAUUUUGCAUUUGUCUAUAAUAUCAUAAUAAAUUACUUAUCAGUUGAAUUACUGGGAUUAAGUAUGUGCACACUUUAUAUUUAUAUUUUGAAAAUUAUUGCAAGAUUGCCUUCAAAAAUGUGGUUAACAACUUUAUCUUCAAAUGGCAAUGAAUGAGAUUGCCAGCUUUCCUACAGCCUCACAGACAAUGGAUUUUAUAAAUAUUUAACAUUUUUGCCAAUGUGAUCACCCAAACUAUUGUCUUAAAUUGUAUCUCUUUUGUUUUUGAGUUUGGUCAUUUUUUCAUGUUUAUUAGCCAUCUGUAUUUUUUAAUUUCUUCUUUAUGUCCAAUUUUGUGGGUGGGAGGAGGAUUUAGUCUCUUCCUGAUUUCGAAGAGCUCAUUUACUAUUUCGGGAAAUAAGAUUUGGAUUGUCAACCAUUAUAGCUAUUUUUUACACACUUUUCAACUUUGUUUUUGUUAUAAGAAUGUGUAUGAUUGUUACAUGUCCAAGUAUAACCAUGUUCGCUUUUAUGGCUUCUGAGUUUCAUGUCAUUUUUGGAAAGAUAUAUAUAUUGAGUCCAUAAAA
rnacentral:lncRNA from 1 species